GCCCUGGCUCAGUCAGUCGAGCAUGAGACUCUGAAUCUCAGAGUUGUGGGUUCGAGCCCCACGUUGGGUG